GGGAAGUGUGGCGGCAGGAGUGGCCCUUGGCUCUGUGCCUCCUGUCCUUUUAGGGACCACUCUCCAUGUUUCCCGAGUCUUCCAGGCUAUCCAGAGAGUUCUCGGGCUGUAAUGCUGCCCGGCUAGCACCAGGAGAGCUCAGCCCUUGAGAGAACAGAGCCAAGCAGAGAGGAGACAAGGGCUGGGAGCACAGGUCAACCCUGGGUUGGAUGGAGACUUCCGCAGCCUGGCUCAUUCUAGAGUGAGCUUGGUUUCAAAUCCCUAAUGCCAUGACUCCAGCAAAUCGACUUGUAAAGGUUUUGAUUUUUGGCUUGGAAAGUAUGAUUUUUUUUUCCCAAGCCGUAAGUACUGGCUCACAUCUAUAAUUCCAGGACUUGAGAAAGCCGAGGCAGGAGGAUUGCCAAGAACUGGAGGCCAGCCUGGACUAUGUGCCCCUGUCAGAUGAGGAGUAACUUAGUUUCUUCCUGGGAAUCUUCUGUGGGUCCACAAAGGAGAUCUUCACAUAUUGGAGGACCUUGGCUUGAGAACUCAAGAAGUCAUGCAAGUCCCUAGUCAGGGCCUGGACAAGGAGGUGGGGACUAUCCUUGAAUCCCUGGGCAGGAUCUUCCAGGUUCAAGAUGCAGCUCCUUCUCCAUUAUCAGCUCCUUCUCCAGCACCAUGUCCGCCUGCAUGCCACCAAGUCCCUCCAAGACGAUAAUGGACUAAACCUCUGAAACCCUUCACCCCUCAGUCUUGGAGUGGUCCAAGGGAUAACCGCCACCCAGGCUACCCCUGACCUGGAAAUGGAUUUGUCCUGGAAGGAAAUUGAAGAUGCAACACUUACACUGGAUUUGCUCUCAAUUUAUAUUAGACUGUGAACUUCCUGAAUGGGGUA